rnacentral:lncRNA from 1 species
AAGGAAGAAACGCAUUCAAUUCAUUCCUAGAAGUUUUUCCUUCGCAUUCAAGGCUCUUCUUCUGACAUCAAAUCUUUAGUGCACUCAAAGGGGAGACUCAGAGUUCGAGAAGCUCUUUCUUCCUCUUCCGAAAUCUGUUUGAGGGCUUCUAACUUUACUCUAUUCAUAUUGUUUCAUAUUUGCUUUUUAAGAAGCUUUCCUUGUAUCUUUUCCUAAACU